rnacentral:rRNA from 1 species
UGGGAACGUACCUCUUGGUUCGGAACAACACAGGGAAACUUGUGCUAAUACCGGAUAAGCCCUUACGGGGAAAGAUUUAUCCCCGAGAGAUCGGCCCGCGUCUGAUUAGCUAGUUGGUAGGGUAAUGGCCUACCAAGGCUACGAUCAGUAGCUGGUCUGAGAGGAUGAUCAGCCACAUUGGGACUGAGACACGGCCCAGACCUCCGUACGGGAGCAGCAG